UACAACAACGUCAUUGCGAAAACCUUUACCCAAAUAAAUAGAGAUCCUUUUCCUUUCAAUAUAAAGAUUAGAUACGGGCUUAAAAUAUUCAUUUUUUAGUAUUGAACAAUUAAUUUAUUAUUCAUUCUAAUUUUCUUCUGACCUGCCUCUUCCUCUUGCUUUGCCUUUUUAGUCUCUGAAAUUCAUUCGCUGAUGGUGAUGAAGUUGUGGUGGUGAUGUAGAUGAAGAUGAAGACAAAGAAUGAAGGAGAUGAAAUAGUUGGUGUUUUCUGAUGAUGGAAAUGACAUUGAAGAUAAUACCGGGUUUAGGAGAUGCAAAUUUUUGAUUGUUGUUUAGGAUGGAAAGUUUUCUCAACUUUAUUGGUGAUGUUAGGUAUUCUCUAUCUCUCCUCUUUCAUUUUCAGCUUUGAGUUUUUCUGCUUCUUUGAUGAAUUGAUAUGUAGAUUACUUUUAUGCACCCCUUAAUUAAUAAUUCUCAAUGAUAUAGUCAUUGCAAAAAAAAAGGCAAUAUCAAUUAUUACCUAAAUUUUUUCCCAACACUAGAGUCGUUGCAAAAAAUAUAUUUGAAACAGUCGUAUUAUUAAUGAGAUUUCAUUAGUCAUUUUUAGCACCUAAUUUUUUUUAUAUAUUUGUUCAUUACUAAUUAAAAUUUAAUUAGUGAUGGCAGUAAUUUGAAAAAUUUCUACGACGAUUAGAAACUUGUCAACUCGCAACGUAGUUAUGAAGUGUAACAAGUAAGGUAAACUUUGGAGGUAAAACUUAAAGUUGAGCAACUACCCAUAACGUUUCGGGAUAAUUAUAAUACUUACCCGAAAACUUUAUUUAUCCAUGUUGAGAAUAAAUUAAAUAUGUCAUAAACAUAUACAAGUGAUUUUUAAACAUGAAAUACAAGUUAGAUAACUUGUUACAUGUACAACAAUUUUUAUCCAAACCUUAAACUAUCUUAGAUAAACCUUUCUUACACCAUAAUAAACCAAAUUGAGGACAAAAACCACCUCAAAUCAGCCCCAAACAGCAGCCCCAUAUGGCUGUCACCUACCCCCUUUUAGCUCUUUGUAUACUUACAUACUCAAGCAAAUUGUUCUAUUCAAAACCUUCUUUGUUCUACCCAAAGCUUGUGCAUCAUUACAAGCAUGCAAGAGGCAAAUAUUAGAAGCAAAAACACUUUAUUUUCAGACCAUUUUAUUUAGCCAUAAUCCCCAACAAAUUGCUCUCAAAUUCAUCCAAGAACAAACACUAGAAUCCUUCAAAGUUCCAUUUACUAAAACACCUUCUUUUCUCAUCAAAUCUUCUUCAAAUACCCACCUAAAACUUUUGAAAAUUUAUGUUUAUAAAUUCAAAUCUCCCAUAAAAAUAAUCUUCAUCUUAAGAACUUUCCAUGGACACCAAACUUGAAGAAAUCCACCAAGUAUAGAGUAAGUAAUGUUCAUUUCUUUAUUCCACUAGUUUUUGUGAAAAGUUGUUCAUGUUAAACAAUUUUUUUUACAUAAUCUUUCUAUAAACUAAAAUCAUUAUAAAAUGAGUAUUUUAUCUCUAAACUAAAAAAAUCAUCACUUAUAAAUUUAUAAAAAUCGGCCAUAAUAGAAAGUAAGAAGCAGUAUUUCCAGAAACAUAAAAUUUUGUUACUUAAAGGAUUCAAAUAAAAUUAUGGGACUUAACUAAGUAUGUUUCUCAACAUAAUAAGUAUACUCCAAAUAUGUUAAAAUCAUCAGAAGUAUUAGUCUAACAACUCUAACUAGGGAAAGUUAAGUGCAUGUUAGAAAUUCAAAAGUAUUAUUGAUAUUUGGAUGAAUGCAAUAUGUUUAGUUGAAUAGUUGGAGUUGAGACUUGAAGGGCAAGGACCCAAAGUUAGAACCACUUCUAAGAACGCGUAGGAGCUUACGUGGGAGCUCACGGAAUAAUUAUAUAGGCUUGGAGUCGAGGUAUGUCACAUGGGGUGAUUUUUAAAGGAUUUAAAAACAAGUUGGGAAAUUUUGUGUAUAAACUUGUUUUUAAUAAUAAAAAAGAGAAGUUCUUAAAUCUUGAAAAAUGAUGUCAAAAUGAUAAUUUUGAGUAUGUAAUAAUUUAUUAUAUGUAUUAUUAUUGUGGGCAUUAUGCAUGUCGAUUUUAUAAAUUGUUGUAUGUUUAAAGGCAUGUUUAACACCACUUUGUGAAAGUUAUUGUGGUGGAAAUGAUUAUAUAAACUUUGAAAAUAUUUGAAAUUCAUUUUAAAAGAAAUUUCCAGUAGCUAUAUAUUAACAAAAUCUCUUGAAUACUUUUUGUUGAAAUUAUUCAUUAAAUUGAUAUUUUAAUGGAUUUUAAGGUGUUAAAUACUCUUAUUAUAAAACAUGGUAUUAGAUAAACUCUUCAUCAUCAAAAAUAAUUAAUAAAAACAUAUUAUAAUGUCUCCAACAAGAUUUGGCCAGUAUAUAUUUAGUUUGGAAUUUUUUCAUGAUUUUUGAAUAAUCGUUAAAUUGUUUAACGGUAAAUUGUAAAAUGGUAACAUAUAAAAUAAUUACUAAACAAACACAUAUGGACUUGAAAUUUUUAUCACAUACUCAUAUGGACAAUAGGUAAAAUUGGUAAAAGUUUGGGAAGGUUUCGUUGACAUUUUAAGGAUCUUAAUAAUUUUUACUCGGUUAUUAAUAAUCGGUAAGUUUGAAAACGGUAAAAUAUAAAAUAAAUACUAAAUGACGUCUUUUGGACAUCAAACUUUUAUGAGACACUUAUGUAAAUAUUAGAUACAUUUUCAAAACUUUAUAUGGAUUUUCGUGACCAUAUAUGGACUUAAAUAAAUUUUAUUCGGUAUAUCGGUAAAAUAACGAUAUUAGUUAUUAAAAAUACCCCACAUGAUUU